GACGUAGGGCGCGAGCGUUGUCCGGAUUUAUUGGGCGUAAAGAGCUCGUAGGCGGCUUGUCGCGUCGACUGUGAAAACUUGGGGCUCAACCCCAAGCUUGCAGUCGAUACGGGCAGGCUAGAGUUCGGUAGGGGAGACUGGAAUUCCUGGUGUAGCGGUGAAAUGCGCAGAUAUCAGGAGGAACACCGAUGGCGAAGGCAGGUCUCUGGGCCGUAACUGACGCUGAGGAGCGAAAGCAUGGGGAGCGAACAGG
rnacentral:rRNA from 1 species